UACGUAGGGGGCAAGCGUUGUUCGGAAUUACUGGGCGUAAAGGGCGCGUAGGCGGCCUGGCAAGUCAGGUGUGAAAGGCCUGGGCUCAACCGAGGAACUGCUUUUGAUACUGCCAAGCUAGAGUGCGGAAGGGGCAACUGGAAUUCCCAGUGUAGCGGUGAAAUGCGUAGAUAUUGGGAAGAACACCUGAGGCGAAGGCGGGUUGCUGGGCCGACACUGACGCUGAGGCGCGAAAGCCAGGGGAGCAAACGGG
rnacentral:rRNA from 1 species